ACGAAACCCGCAAAAACGAAAACGGGUCCCAGAGGAGCAAGACAACACAGGAAGAACACGGCAGCUGCACACAACACGGACGCACCAAGAAAAAAAACCAAAAACACUCCAUGUGAAACCCGUCACCGCGUGAAUUCUUUUGAAAACACUGUUAGUAACACGGAAAAAAAACGAUUAAAGACACCACCAGCGACGGAAGUAAACACCGACUUUUCCUGUGUGAUAUGAAGUAAGGACCUAAUUUUAUUUUAUGGAGCAUUACCUGCAGCAUCCUUGGUGAUUGCAAGAAGCUGGAGACAACCUAAUGUCCAUCACUGGGACAGUGGCAGGUAAAAGGUACUAUCAUACAACAACAGGAAAUAAUGUAUUAGAUGUCACACUGCAUCAAAACUAUAAUGUUUAGUGACAAAAAUGAGAUGUAUGAUACAGUAUCAUUAACAUAACUUUUAAAAUCCACCCACAUACACAAUACCUGCAUACAACAAUACCUGUUUUGCAAGAACAAAAAACAAGAAGAUAUAUAUUAAACACAGUGGAAUGGUUGCUGGGGAGAAGGUGAAUGGAAGAGGGAUAGAUGUAAGAAUAAAAGAGUGAAUGAUAAAUAGAUAAAUGGAUAAAUAAAGCAAGCCUGACACAGACCACUGAUGAUAAUAUGUCAUGAACCCAGGAGCAUGGUCAUCACCUGAGAGCCAAAGAUGAUAGAUAGAUAGAUAGAUAGAUAGAUAGAUAGAUAGAUAGAUAACUGAUAGAUAGAUAGAUAGAUGAGCAGAACUGCUACGAAAGGAGAGAGAGAGAAGGAACGCAAGAAGGAAGAAUGAAAGGAUGGAAGAUAGAAGGAAGGAUGGAAGGCAAAAAAGACUGAGUCGUCAUCAGAGUAUACAGCCUAGGGGAAACUAUUCAUGUGCCCAGAAGGACGUAAAUAAUCAUGAUUCAAGCAGAGGCAGAGAGCGUGAAAGAGGGGUCAGUGCUGAAUGGGAGCUGAAUUUCUUCUAAGGCGUCCUAAACAACACCUUGACUUGCCCUUUAAUAGGCUCUAUCAAGGUCUCCAGAAGCAGCAAGAACCUCCUCACCACAGGGCAGGAUUCAGAGCAAAAGGCAGAUAGCACUAAAAAGAAUAUUAAAAAAAACUAUAACUUGGGGCUGGCCCCAUGGCCGAGUGGUUAAGUUCACGUGCUCCACUGCAGGCGGCCCAGUGUUUCGUUGGUUCCAAUCCUGGGCGCGGACAUGGCACUGCUCAUCAGACCACGCUGAGGCAGCGUCCCACAUGCCACAACUAGAAGGACCCACAACUAAAA
rnacentral:lncRNA from 1 species